GAUGAACGCUAGCUACAGGCUUAACACAUGCAAGUCGAGGGGCAGCAUGGACAUAGCUUGCUAUGUUUGAUGGCAACCGGCGCACGGGUGCGUAACACGUAUCCAAUCUGCCCGUUACUCGGGGAUAGCCUUCUGAAAGGAAGAUUAAUACCCGAUGGCAUGUACUUCCGGCAUCGGAGAUACAUUAAAGAUUUAUCGGUAACGGAUGAGGAUGCGUACGAUUGGCUUGUUGGCGGGGUAACGGCCCACCAAGGCGACGAUCGUUAGGGGUUCUGAGAGGAAGGUCCCCCACACUGGAACUGAGACACGGUCCAGACUCCUACGGGAGGCAGCAGUGAGGAAUAUUGGUCAAUGGUCGGAAGACUGAACCAGCCAAGUAGCGUGAAGGAUGACUGCCCUACGGGUUGUAAACUUCUUUUGUUUGGGAAUAAAAGACGCUACGUGUAGCGUUCUGCAUGUACCUUACGAAUAAGCAUCGGCUAAUUCCGUGCCAGCCGCCGCGGUAAAAC
rnacentral:rRNA from 1 species